AGUGAACGCUGGCGGUAGGCCUAACACAUGCAAGUCGAACGGCAGCACAGUAAGAGCUUGCUCUUACGGGUGGCGAGUGGCGGACGGGUGAGGAAUACAUCGGAAUCUACUUUUUCGUGGGGGAUAACGUAGGGAAACUUACGCUAAUACCGCAUACGACCUACGGGUGAAAGCAGGGGAUCUUCGGACCUUGCGCGAUUGAAUGAGCCGAUGUCGGAUUAGCUAGUUGGCGGGGUAAAGGCCCACCAAGGCGACGAUCCGUAGCUGGUCUGAGGGGAUGAUCAGCCACACUGGAACUGAGACACGGUCCAGACUCCUACGGGAGGCAGCAGUGGGGAAUAUUGGACAAUGGGCGCAAGCCUGAUCCAGCCAUACCGCGUGGGUGAAGAGGGCCUUCGGGUUGUAAAGCCCUUUUGUUGGGAAAGAAAAGCAGCAGGUUAAUACCCCGCUGUUCUGACGGUACCCAAAGAAUAAGCACCGGCUAACUUCGUG
rnacentral:rRNA from 1 species